AAUCAACGCUGGCGGCGUGCCUAACACAUGCAAGUCGAACGCGAAAGCCCCGCAAGGGGUAAGUAGAGUGGCAGACGGGUGAGUAACGCGUGGGUGACCUGCCUUCGAGUGGGGGAUAACGUCCCGAAAGGGACGCUAAUACCGCAUGACAUCCUGCCUUUGAACAGGCGGUGAUCAAAGCCGGGGCCGCAAGGCCUGGCGCUUGAAGAGGGGCCCGCGUCCGAUUAGCUAGUUGGUGAGGUAACGGCCCACCAAGGCGACGAUCGGUAGCCGGCCUAAGAGGGCGGACGGCCACACUGGGACUGAGACACGGCCCAGACUCCUACGGGAGGCAGCAGUGGGGAAUUGUUCGCAAUGGGCGCAAGCCUGACGACGCAACGCCGCGUGGAGGAUGAAGAUCUUCGGGUCGUAAACUCCUGUCGAGCGGGACGAAAGAUCCGCGACCGAAUACGUCGCGGAAGUGACGGUACCGCUAGAGGAAGCCCCGGC
rnacentral:rRNA from 1 species